rnacentral:rRNA from 1 species
GACGAACCGUGCGAACGUUGUUCGGAAUCACUGGGCUUAAAGGGCGCGUAGGCGGGUUCGAAAGUCUGUGGUGAAAUCCUCCAGCUUAACUGGAGAAGUGCCAUGGAUACUGCGAACCUCGAGGAGGGUAGGGGCAUCUGGAACGGUCGGUGGAGCGGUGAAAUGCGUUGAUAUCGACCGGAACUCCGGUGGCGAAGGCGAGGUGCUGGACCCUUUCUGACGCUGAGGCGCGAAAGCCAGGGGAGCAAACGGG